GGCUGGGGGAGUGGGUUGAGUGUUGGACUAGGGCUCUGGAGACCAGGGUUCGAAUCCCAGCUCGGCCA
rnacentral:tRNA from 1 species